AGAGUUUGAUCAUGGCUCAGAUUGAACGCUGGCGGCAGGCCUAACACAUGCAAGUCGAGCGGUAGCACAGAGAGCUUGCUCUCGGGUGACGAGCGGCGGACGGGUGAGUAAUGUCUGGGAAACUGCCUGAUGGAGGGGGAUAACUACUGGAAACGGUAGCUAAUACCGCAUAACGUCGCAAGACCAAAGUGGGGGACCUUCGGGCCUCAUGCCAUCAGAUGUGCCCAGAUGGGAUUAGCUAGUAGGUGGGGUAACGGCUCACCUAGGCGACGAUCCCUAGCUGGUCUGAGAGGAUGACCAGCCACACUGGAACUGAGACACGGUCCAGACUCCUACGGGAGGCAGCAGUGGGGAAUAUUGCACAAUGGGCGCAAGCCUGAUGCAGCCAUGCCGCGUGUGUGAAGAAGGCCUUCGGGUUGUAAAGUACUUUCAGCGGGGAGGAAGGCGUUAAGGUUAAUAACCUUGGCGAUUGACGUUACCCGCAGAAGAAGCACCGGCUAACUCCGUGCCAGCAGCCGCGGUAAUACGGAGGGUGCAAGCGUUAAUCGGAAUUACUGGGCGUAAAGCGCACGCAGGCGGUCUGUCAAGUCGGAUGUGAAAUCCCCGGGCUCAACCUGGGAACUGCAUUCGAAACUGGCAGGCUAGAGUCUUGUAGAGGGGGGUAGAAUUCCAGGUGUAGCGGUGAAAUGCGUAGAGAUCUGGAGGAAUACCGGUGGCGAAGGCGGCCCCCUGGACAAAGACUGACGCUCAGGUGCGAAAGCGUGGGGAGCAAACAGGAUUAGAUACCCUGGUAGUCCACGCCGUAAACGAUGUCGAUUUGGAGGUUGUGCCCUUGAGGCGUGGCUUCCGGAGCUAACGCGUUAAAUCGACCGCCUGGGGAGUACGGCCGCAAGGUUAAAACUCAAAUGAAUUGACGGGGGCCCGCACAAGCGGUGGAGCAUGUGGUUUAAUUCGAUGCAACGCGAAGAACCUUACCUGGUCUUGACAUCCACAGAACUUUCCAGAGAUGGAUUGGUGCCUUCGGGAACUGUGAGACAGGUGCUGCAUGGCUGUCGUCAGCUCGUGUUGUGAAAUGUUGGGUUAAGUCCCGCAACGAGCGCAACCCUUAUCCUUUGUUGCCAGCGGUUAGGCCGGGAACUCAAAGGAGACUGCCAGUGAUAAACUGGAGGAAGGUGGGGAUGACGUCAAGUCAUCAUGGCCCUUACGACCAGGGCUACACACGUGCUACAAUGGCAUAUACAAAGAGAAGCGACCUCGCGAGAGCAAGCGGACCUCAUAAAGUAUGUCGUAGUCCGGAUUGGAGUCUGCAACUCGACUCCAUGAAGUCGGAAUCGCUAGUAAUCGUAGAUCAGAAUGCUACGGUGAAUACGUUCCCGGGCCUUGUACACACCGCCCGUCACACCAUGGGAGUGGGUUGCAAAAGAAGUAGGUAGCUUAACCUUCGGGAGGGCGCUUACCACUUUGUGAUUCAUGACUGGGGUGAAGUCGUAACAAGGUAACCGUAGGGGAACCUGCGGUUGGAUCACCU
rnacentral:rRNA from 1 species